rnacentral:misc_RNA from 1 species
AAAAUAAUCCUACCCUUUGUGAAUUUUGUUUGUUUGAAUAAUUUUUUUUUUUAAAAAAUUAUUGGAGUCUUUCCCUUUAGAGUUUGCUUUGAGUUUGUAAAAGAAUUCGAAAACAUCUAAAGGGGAUGGUCAAUAAUUUUUUUUGAAAAAAGACAUUUUUUAAAAUUAAACUUUUUGUAUUCAUUUGUCUAAAAAUUAUUUUUAUAAUAUAAAAACAACUUUUGACAAUGGAUCUCUUGGUUCUCGCAACGAUGAAGAACGCAGCAAAAUGCGAUAAGUAGUGUGAAUUGCAGAAUACGUGAAUCAUCGAAUCUUUGAACGCAUAAUGCACUUUUUUAGUUUACUAAAAAAGUAUGUCUGUUUGAGUAUCAGUAAAAUAUUCUCAUAAAAAUCAUUGUAUUUUUAUGGUUAUGAGUGUUUUACAACGAUACAAGUUGUUUCACUUUAAAUUUUUUUUUAAUAUUGAAAUUUUUCUAAUUUUAAUAAUUAAAAUUGGAUAAAAUUUUCCCGUCAAAAGGAAUAACCUAAACAAUUUUAAAUGAUUAAUUUUAGCAAAAUUUUCGAAAAAAAGGAAAAUUUUUAUUAAAAUAACUUGAUCUCAAAUCAGAUAAGAGUACCCGCUGAACUUAAGCAUAUCAAUAAGCGGAGGAAAAGAAACUAACAAGGAUUCCCUUAGUAACGGCGAGUGAAGCGGGAAGAGCUCAAAUUUGAAAUCUUCAAGGUUUUACCUUGACGAAUUGUAGUUUAAAGAAGUGUUUUCUGCUGAAGUUUUGGUAAAAGUUCUUUGGGAUAGGACAUCAUAGAGGGUGAGAAUCCCGUAUUUGACCAUUAUUUUCAGCUUUGUGAUACACUUUCAAAGAGUCGGAUUGUUUGGGAAUGCAGUCCAAAAUGGGUGGUAAAUUUCAUCAAAAGCUAAAUAUUGGCGAGAGACCGAUAGCGAACAAGUACCGUGAGGGAAAGAUGAAAAGAACUUUGAAAAGAGAGUUAAACAGUACGUGAAAUUGUCAAAAGGGAAGCGUUUGACACCAGUGUUGUUUUCUCGAAAAUCAAUUAAAAAUGGCUCGAUUUUGUAUUGCUGAGACCUUAAAAGCUCACUGUACAUUUUUCGUGUCUUUUUUAAUGCACUUUUCGUUUAACAAGUCAACAUCAGUUUCUUUUGUUGUAAAAGGGUCAUUGGAAGGUGGCUUUCUUUUCGGAGAAAGUGUUUAUAGCCUUUGGCCUCUACAAUCGAAGAGACUGAGGUCUGCAGCGUAGACUCUUCGGGGUUAGAUACAUUUGUGCUAAGUUAUAGCUUUUUAUAGACAACUUGUUGACUAUAAUUAGUCUUGUAGCUUACUCGCUUAUGCUAUUUUACCUACGCUUAGGAUG